CCUACGGGAGGCAGCAGUGAGGAAUAUUGGUCAAUGGGAGAGAUCCUGAACCAGCCAAGCCGCGUGAGGGAAGACGGCCCUAUGGGUUGUAAACCUCUUUUGUCGGAGAACAAAACCCGGGACGUGUCCCUGACUGAGAGUACCUGAAGAACAAGCAUCGGCUAACUCCGUGCCAGCAGCCGCGGUAAUACGGAGGAUGCGAGCGUUAUACGGAUUUAUUGGGUUUAAAGGGUGCGCAGGCGGAGGCACAAGUCAGCGGUAAAAUCGCGGGGCUCAACCCCGCUCCGCCGUUGAAUCUGUGUCCCUUGAGUGCGCGAAGGGUAGGCGGAAUGCGUGGUGGAGCGGUGAAAUGCAUAGAUAUCACGCAGAACUCCGAUCGCGAAGGCAGCCUACAGGCGCGCAACUGACGCUCAUGCACGAAAGCGUGGGUAUCGAACAGGAUUAGAUACCCCAGUAGUC
rnacentral:rRNA from 1 species